UACGAAGGGGGCGAGCGUUGUUCGGAUUUACUGGGCGUAAAGGGCGCGUAGGCGGCCGAUCAAGUCAGGCGUGAAAGCCCCGGGCUCAACCUGGGAAUGGCGCUUGGGACUGGUUGGCUUGAGUUCGGGAGAGGAGAGUGGAAUUCCCAGUGUAGAGGUGAAAUUCGUAGAUAUUGGGAAGAACACCGGUGGCGAAGGCGGCCUGCUGGGCUGUUGCUGACGCUGAGGCGCGACAGCGUGGGGAGCAAACAGG
rnacentral:rRNA from 1 species